UCUGGAUGGCCGAGCCGUCUAAAGCGCUGCGUUCUGGUCGCAGUCCACUUGUGUGGGUGUGGGUUCGAAUCCCACUACUGAAAA